AAUCAACGCUGGCGGCGUGCCUCAGACAUGCAAGUCGAACGCGAAAUUUCCCUUCGGGGAGAAAGUAGAGUGGCGCACGGGUGAGUAACACGUAGGUAAUUUGCCUUUGGGUGGGAAUAACUCAGGGAAACUUGAGCUAAUACCGCAUAAUGCAGCGGCUCGACAGUCGAGACAGUUGCUAAAGCGGGGGAUUGGAGCAAAUCCGACCUCGCGCCUAAAGAGAAGCCNGCGGCAGAUUAGCUAGUU
rnacentral:rRNA from 1 species